ACGAAGUUAAAAAUAUGGACCCUGGGAUAGAAGAAAUGAAUACGAAGAAGGAGCCUCCAGGUCACAGCGGGACAUCACAAAAAAAAGCAGCAUCUCCUGUUCCCAGCUGUGUGUCUCUGAAGAGUAACUGGUCCAAGCUGGAUCCUCCAGACUUUAGCAAUGAGCCUGGACCUCCAGAAACACAAGAGAGAAGACUGCUUGAAGAUGAUGAUUCAGAAGUGGUUCAUGAACUCUGUCCUUUAUGUAAGAACAAAGGGAGUGAUCCUGUCUGGACCAACUGUGGUCAUUGGUUCAAUAGACCUUAUGUCAUAAUAGUGCCAGUGUUCACUAGUGUUCACACUAGUGAUGGGUCGGUC
rnacentral:lncRNA from 1 species